UAAUAGUGUCGUUAGAAGAUAAUACCCACCUCCCUACGAAAUAGGAGGGUGGUUAUUUGACUAAGUCUUGGCCCUAUCUUUUACUCUUGGACUUGAAAGGACAUUUGGACUAGAAGAAGAUAAACUCGAUCCUUGGAAGCCGGGAGAAGAUAACAAUAGCUAGAACCACUUCCUCAAAUUUCGCUGCUUAUCAUCGCACCACGCAUCCUAUGUCGCGUCUAGCCUUAAUUUUUUGACCAUAACAAUUUGCCCCCAUUUGUUAUCUUGGAUUGUGGGCAAUUUUCAAGAGAACAAAUACUUAGCCAACUUCCCCCACUAUUACAAUUAAAACUAACAUAACUUUCUCCCCUAACCUGCAUAAAUACUCGUGCAACUUUCCCUAAUUUUCUCAAACCUUCUCACAUUUUCUCAAUUCUCUCUCCAAGGGUUUCAAGUCGAACUAUGUGACUUUCGCCGAAGCUCAAGCUUGCGAUUCCGAGCAACUCUGUCAGAUAGAGAAUCCUUGAGUGAAGAUGCGAACUGUAUCCGGUGUGGCUGGCGCGACAGAGAGCUCAAUCUUGCUAUCGUGACUCCAUGGAGGAAGAGUUUGCGUAAAGUGGAGGCUUUCUUAAGUAUUGUAAAGAAGGAUCGGACUUUCAUACAUCCUGUUGUUGCUGACAAUUCUGGUGCUGCUGUAGUAGAGGAGGAAGAAGAACAAGAAGAUAGUGAUCACGACAUGGCUUCAGGUAGUCAGUCUGGAGUGUACAAGAAAAGCGUGAUGUCCUUUGCUAAAAUGGUGGAGAGGGCUUCCAAGAAGAGGAAGCAAACUCCUUCUGCUAAAGAUGAUGUUAAAUUUUUGGAUGCCAAACUACUCCAGAUUCGCAAGUCGCCUCUCUCUAAGGAGAUUUUAUAACACCCUAGAAAUUUCUUUCCUUUAAAAUACCUAUCUGCCCCUUUUUAAAAUACGA